rnacentral:rRNA from 1 species
AUGGCGGCCAUCCUCGUCGCCGCGAUGGUGGUGGUGCUGUCCGUCACCGUGGCGGAGAGCGCCACGGUGGAGUACCAGUUCGAUGUGGCGACCAUGAACGUGACGCGGCUGUGCGGCAGCAAGAGCAUCGUGACGGUGAACGGGCAGUUCCCGGGCCCCACGGUGUCGGCGAGGGAGGGCGACCUCGUCGUCGUCCGGGUCGUCAACAAGGCCCAGUACAACAUGAGCAUACACUGGCACGGCGUCCGGCAGCUGCGGAGCGGGUGGGCGGACGGGCCGGCGUACAUCACUCAGUGCCCGGUGCAGCCCGGGCAGAGCUACGUGUACAAGUUCACCAUCACCGGGCAGCGCGGCACGCUGUGGUGGCACGCGCACAUCUCCUGGCUCCGCACCACCGUCUACGGUCCCAUCGUCAUCCUCCCCAAGCUCGGCGUCCCCUACCCCUUCGCCGCCCCCUACAAGGAGGUGCCCAUCAUGUUCGGCGAAUGGUGGAAGGCGGACACGGAGGCGGUGAUCAGCCAGGCACUUCAGACCGGCGGAGGCCCGAAUGUCUCUGAUGCCUUCACCAUCAAUGGCCUCCCAGGGCCGCUCUACAACUGCUCUGCCAAAGACACGUUCAAGCUCAAGGUGAAGCCCGGGAAGACGUACAUGCUCCGCAUCAUCAACGCCGCACUCAACGACGAGCUCUUCUUCUCCAUCGCCGGCCACUCGCUCACCAUCGUCGACGUCGACGCGGUCUACAUCAAGCCCAUCACCGUCGAGACCCUCCUCAUCACCCCGGGCCAAACCACCAACGUGCUCCUCACGGCCAAGCCGUCCUACCCUGGGGCGACCUACUACAUGAUGGCCGCGCCCUACUCCACGGCGGCCUCCGGGACCUUCGACAACACCACCGUCGCCGGCAUCCUCGAGUACGAGGACCCCAGCUCCCCCUCCUCCGCGGGGUUCAACAAGAACCUCCCGGUGCUCAGGCCGACCCUGCCCCAGAUCAACGACACGAGCUUCGUGUCCAACUACACCGCCAAGCUCCGGAGCCUCGCCACGGAGGAGUACCCGGCGGAGGUGCCGCAGGAGGUGGACAGGCAGUUCUUCUUCACGGUGGGGCUGGGCACCCACCCCUGCGCCGUCAACGGGACGUGCCAGGGGCCGACGAACGACAGCCGAUUCGCGGCGGCCGUGAACAACGUCUCCUUCGUGCUCCCCACGACGGCGCUGCUGCAGUCGCACUACACGGGGAUGUCCAACGGGGUGUACUCGUCCAACUUCCCCGCCGUUCCCAAGUCGCCGUUCAACUACACGGGCACGCCGCCGAACAACACCAACGUGUCCAACGGGACCCGGCUGGUGGUGCUGUCGUACGGCGACGCCGUGGAGCUGGUGAUGCAGGGCACCAGCAUCCUCGGCGCCGAGAGCCACCCGUUCCACCUGCACGGCUUCAACUUCUUCGUGGUCGGGCAGGGGUUCGGCAACUUCGACCCCGUCAAGGACCCGGCCAAGUACAACCUCGUCGACCCCGUCGAGAGGAACACCGUCGGCGUGCCCGCCGCCGGGUGGGUGGCAAUCCGCUUCCGUGCCGAUAAUCCAGGGGUGUGGUUCAUGCAUUGCCACUUGGAGGUGCACGUCAGCUGGGGCCUGAAAAUGGCGUGGGUGGUGCAGGACGGGAGCCUCCCCAACCAGAAGCUGCUCCCUCCGCCGUCCGAUCUUCCCAAAUGUUAG